GUGGGCAAUGCUGCUCAGCUGACAGGGCUCUUUGCUUGUUCACAGUGCUCUUUCUCGAAGGGGCCCCAGUGCCAGAACCAUUCACAAGCCCGGAGCAUAAAUGACAGAGUUGAGCAGCACAUUAAGCACUGCAUUCUCCAAGGAAAAUUUGAAUAAAAUAAGAGCAUCAACUCUGCAGCACGGCCAAAAUGCCAGGAACAAAAGGCAAAGGUAACAAAUCGGACAAGAAGUCAAGCACCAAGCAACCUCAGAGUCCUAAAGAGCAGCCGAAGAAAGCUGAUCAGAAAGGAGACGAUAACCAGAAGCAAGGAGGUCAAUCGAAUUCAGCAAAUCAAGCAUGUGCUUAAAAUAUGGAUUUAAAAUAAACAAAUAAAUCAAACUCUGUUUUUUUAUUUCUUUCCAGGACAGCCGAAGGGAGAGAAGCAGUAACUUCCAGGCAUUUGUGAAGAUGGCUUUGGAGACACUGCUGGGAUCCUGUCGUCAUAAACGAGGCGGUUCUCGGGGAAAACAGGGCUGACCACUCCUUACCCGCCCCUGCUCUUGAAGCCACGAGCCGAUGUGUGGCCCAGCAAUAACGUUCUUCCACAGAGGCUGAUAGUAAACCUGAUCUCCAUCCAUCAUCUUCUGUUGUCACCCUCUUGUUUCUCUGCAUUUCGCCGCCCGGCCCACCCUUGUCCACUCCGUCAGACGGGAUGCUUCACUCCAGGUUAGAGGAGAGCUCAGCUCUAAGUGAAGCAAUCCCUCCCACCCUCGUUAUCAUCGCUGUCUAACAGCAAAAAAUGACUUUUCUACAUAAUUAUUCAAAUAAAAAGCUAUUUAUCUCAUCAUUCUGUUUUUAUUUUAUCUUUACCUACUGCCAAUCACCUCUAAAAGUUCAAUUAAAAAAAUGACAGGACUCAGGUUUCAUGUAAAACUGUAUAAAAAGGAUCAC
rnacentral:lncRNA from 1 species